AUGAGGAGUCAGGGCUUCCACCUGGGGCAAGGAUCAAGCACAGCUCGAUGGAGCAGUGUAGGCGCUAAUGUGUGGGUGCAGGUGCGACUGAAAAAAAAUGAGACCAUAGGUAUAAAUUCAGCCAGUGCUGCUCAGAUAUCUGCUUACAUAUCCUUACUGAAGAGCUCCAUCAAAUUUGCUAGUUGUGUGAGGAUGGGUUGUUGUUGUUAUAGUGUUCAGGAUGAGAGCACAACAUUAUUUCAUAAGCCAGCUUGGCAGCCUGAGGUAAAGGAGAGCGCUCUUCAGCCAGCAAGAGGUUGCCUGAUAAGUGGAAUUUGCCCUUCAAAGAAGAGUUGUGGUAAAAGUUUCAAGCACUUGGAGCUGUGCUGUCAAAUACAGGAUGGAGACUUUAUAAAGACAUUGCAAUUGACAGUGAAUUCAGGUGAAUGCAACAUCGUCCAUGAGAUUCAUGUUGAACUCAGGUUAGAGGAAUAUAUUAGUGCUGAGCUCCUGCUCGUAUGCUUCAUUCUCAGAGGCAAACUGCACUGUGCCAGUGGAAUCGUGUGUCAGGUACUUAAUGUGUGGAGCUCUGAAAUUUCUAGAGAAGAAAAAUUCUCUGUUUAGGUGAAUUGUAAAAUUUAUGCUCUGACUGGGGAGGAGGGAGGAACUUCCAAAAGUGUGAAAUUUAAUCCGUAAAAGGGAAAAUCAAGUAAAUUAAUGAGUUCUCUUUGUAUAAUCAUUUAAUUUGUUUCAGUAUAGUCUUUUACCUUUGUUUAGAACUCAUGAGCCCUAAUAGCCUAUAGUUAAAUCACAAUCUUUAUUUUUUUCAUAUUGAUCUUGAUGAGAUUUCGAUGUCUGUCAUACUGAUUUACACUCCCUCCUAAUUUCUAUGAGGAUCUGAAAGGAAAAAUGUAGUUUAUAAAGGGUGAAUAGCAUUCUUAUGCUUCAUUAUUUUUCACUUAUUCUAUGUCAGCAAUACUGGGGUUUCUUGAGUUAUCAGACUAGCAUGAUCAUAGCAUGAUUUCACUAAUUCCACCAUGCAUCCUCUUUCCUUGAUAUUAUUAUUGAUAAAUUAUAAUUAUGUUUUUGAAUAAUUAACUUUGUAUAACUAACCCAAAUACAGUGGUCAUUGCAAACUCAGUUAGGAUUUUGGACUAUUUAAUUCUCCAAUAAGAACAAGCCUUGUGUUUACAAUGAUGCUUUGGAGGUACUUCAGGCUGUGAAGUACAUAUGAAGCUACCCCAGAAUAAAGGGAUCUGGUUGAUGGAGUGAUCCA
rnacentral:lncRNA from 1 species